rnacentral:rRNA from 1 species
AUUGAACGCUGGCGGCAUGCCUUACACAUGCAAGUCGAACGGCAGCACGGACUUCGGUCUGGUGGCGAGUGGCGAACGGGUGAGUAAUGUAUCGGAACGUACCUUUCAGUGGGGGAUAACGUAGCGAAAGUUACGCUAAUACCGCAUAUUCUGUGAGCAGGAAAGCAGGGGAUCGCAAGACCUUGCGCUGAUUGAGCGGCCGAUAUCAGAUUAGCUAGUUGGUGGGGUAAAGGCCUACCAAGGCUACGAUCUGUAGCGGGUCUGAGAGGAUGAUCCGCCACACUGGAACUGAGACACGGUCCAGACUCCUACGGGAGGCAGCAGUGGGGAAUUUUGGACAAUGGGGGCAACCCUGAUCCAGCCAUGCCGCGUGAGUGAAGAAGGCCUCGGUGUAAGCCUUCGUCCGGAGAAAUCGCAUAGGCUAAUACCCUGUGUGGAUGACGGUACCGGAAUAAGAAGACACCGGCUAACUACGUGCCAGCACG